rnacentral:snRNA from 1 species
GUGGGCUGUCGGCCUUUUGGCUAAGAGCAUGGGUAGUAUCUAUUCUUAUAAGUUUAAUAUCUUAUAUGUGGGCUAUGCCCACAAUCAAUGUAGCUUGCUACUUGGGCUCUUGUGUGUUACUCAAUAGGUAAACAACUUAAGUGGUGACACUCAUAAGUUAAAACAACU